CAAGUCGAACGGUAACAGGAAGCAGCUUGCUGCUUUGCUGACGAGUGGCGGACGGGUGAGUAAUGUCUGGGAAACUGCCUGAUGGAGGGGGAUAACUACUGGAAACGGUAGCUAAUACCGCAUAACGUCGCAAGACCAAAGAGGGGGACCUUCGGGCCUCUUGCCAUCGGAUGUGCCCAGAUGGGAUUAGCUAGUAGGUGGGGUAACGGCUCACCUAGGCGACGAUCCCUAGCUGGUCUGAGAGGAUGACCAGCCACACUGGAACUGAGACACGGUCCAGACUCCUACGGGAGGCAGCAGUGGGGAAUAUUGCACAAUGGGCGCAAGCCUGAUGCAGCCAUGCCGCGUGUAUGAAGAAGGCCUUCGGGUUGUAAAGUAC
rnacentral:rRNA from 1 species